rnacentral:rRNA from 1 species
AUUAAUAAGCGGUGGAAAAGAAACUAACAAGGAUUCCCUUAGUAACUGCGAGUGAACAGGGAAGAGCCCAGCACCGAAGCCCUCGCCCUCGCUGGCGUUGAGCAAUGUGGUGUUUAAAGGAAACCGUUCCGACAGGCUGCCGGUGCCCAAGUCCCCCUGACCGGGGCCAUCGCCCGUGGUGGGUGCAAGGCCCAUGUGGCAGAUGCGGCAGCUUGGAGGUUGGUUACCUUUUUGGAGUCGGGUUGCUUGAGAGUGCAGCCCUAAGCCGGUGGUAAACUCCAUCGAAGGCUAAAUACAUACACGAGACCGAUAGCAAACAAGUACCGUGAGGGAAAGUUGCAAAGAACUUUGGAGAGAGAGUUCAAGAGUACGUGAAACCGCUCGGAGGUAAACGGGUGGGACCUCGAAGGUCGAACAGGUGGAUUCAACCCGUCGGCAGUUGCGCCACUGCAGAUAAAACCUCAUUAACGGAUCCGAGGGACUGGUCUGCAGUGCUCGAGCAGCUUUUGCUGGCGGGCGCACUUCCACCUUAGUAGGACGCCGCGACCGGUCGGUGCAAGAGCAGCCUUAAGUCGAGGUGGUUUGGCAGGUAUCUGUUGCCGUAAGUCAGUGAGUUCGCGUUCAUUCGUGUCUCUCGGGCCCGGUCGGAGUUAUAGCCCCUGCCUCUUCUGACUGGCACUGCUCACCGACCGUUUCAGAAAGACCAAUAGGUCGGCGCGCCCGCUUGUGUUUAAUCACAAACGCACGUUCGUUCCUUGCAGGUUGGGUGUGAGAGUGUUGCGAUUGACGCCCUGAAAUGUGCGGCUUUUGCCUCUCUACCUACUGUUGGCUUGGAAAGCGUUUUUUAAACUUAAAGCUAACGUGGACGGCGCUUGCGGUCUGCGGCGAGUAGGUCGGUAACCCACCCGACCC